ACGCGUUGGGAGCUCUCCCAUAUGGUCGACCUGCAGGCGGCCGCGAAUUCACUAGUGAUUCGUAUUACCGCGGCUGCUGGCACGGAGUUAGCCGGAGCUUAUUCUCCCGGUACUGUCAUUAUCAUCCCGGGUAAAAGAGCUUUACAACCCUAAGGCCUUCAUCACUCACGCGGCAUUGCUGGAUCAGGCUUUCGCCCAUUGUCCAAUAUUCCCCACUGCUGCCUCCCGUAGGAGUCUGGGCCGUGUCUCAGUCCCAGUGUGGCUGAUCAUCCUCUCAGACCAGCUAAGGAUCGUCGCCUUGGUGCGCCUUUACCACACCAACUAGCUAAUCCUACGCGGGCUCAUCCCUCGGCGAUAAAUCUUUGGACUUACGUCGUCAUCCGGUAUUAGCAGUCAUUUCUAACUGUUAUUCCGAACCAAGGGGCAGAUUCCCACGCGUUACGCACCCGUGCGCCACUAAGGCCGAAGCCUUCGUUCGACUUGCAUGUGUUAGGCAUGCCGCCAGCGUUCGUUCUGAGCCAUGAUCAAACUCUAAUCGAAUUCCCGCGGCCGCCAUGGCG
rnacentral:rRNA from 1 species